UACGAAGGGAGCUAGCGUUGUUCGGAAUCACUGGGCGUAAAGCGCACGUAGGCGGAUUUGCCAGUCAGGGGUGAAAUCCCGGGGCUCAACCUCGGAACUGCCUUUGAUACAGCAAGUCUUGAGUUCGAGAGAGGUGAGUGGAACUGCGAGUGUAGAGGUGAAAUUCGUAGAUAUUCGCAAGAACACCAGUGGCGAAGGCGGCUCACUGGCCCGGUACUGACGCUGAGGUGCGAAAGCGUGGGGAGCAAACAGG
rnacentral:rRNA from 1 species